UUGAGAUCGGUGGAAGACGAUGGAGCAGCGGGCGGAGGAGGAGUCGAUAAGAGCAGCCUCGGAGGAGCUCUCUCGUGAGUUCAAAACUUUGAUGAGCACUGAUGAUUUGAGUUCUCUCAACCAUUUGCAGCACCUCAUAUUGGGGAGAUUGCAGGAUAGCAACGCAGUCCUCUCUCAUUUUAACGAGUUUUCGGAGCAUUGCUUUGCUGAGGUGUCUGGAGAUCUAUCUAGAAAUACUCGUCUUUUAAAGUCUAUGAAAUCUGACCUUGAUUACAUAUUUCAGAAAAUUAGGAGCAUGAAAUCAAGAAUUUUGGCUACUUACCCUGAUGCAUUUCCAGAUGAGUCAACGAGUGAAGCUCUUGACAGGAGACCAGACCUUGAAAUGCCUCAGUAACGACAGAAAGUAUGACUCCAAGUUAUCGUACCUGAUACCACAAUGGGAAUCAAAAAACGUAGAUACAUCAUUUUCCAGAGUUGUUUCAAUCAUGUUGUCAUUAUUAACUAGGUACGAAGUCUAAUUUGGACAAAUUUGUUUAUAUUGUGUUGUUACCUUCACAUUUUACCUCAAUACUGGUGUUCCAAGUAAAUUGAUGUACACAGAGUAGUAUCAUUAUGAGAAGUCCUGAUGAAAUAUAGAUAAAAGCACAUUUGCCCUCCGCUCAGUUUCUCAUUUGCUAUCUUAAUUCAUUCUAGCUUCUAUUGCCCCUAUAUUUUACCAGCAUACAUAUUCUUAUUAUGAAAUCAGAAACCUAAUCUAGGACAGCUACUCUUCUAUCACUUGUGGUUGCUAUAAUAAUUAGUUUUCAUAUCCUUUUGGUAGCUAGCCAUUCUUUUAAUGCCAUUACCUUUUUUCGUCAUUAGAGACCAGUCAUUUUAUAGUUGACAAUUCGACGCAUAUGACAACUGGGAAUCUAAAUGGAGAUUCUGAAAAUGAACAUGAGGUUGAUAACCACUUUUCUUACUGCCAAAUAUCCUGCAUCUUCACAUGACACCCAAUUAGAUGAGAGGGAUUUUUUUAAUGUCCAGCUAGGAUUAGUCACUUCUGGCCUCUGGGUGAUAUUUAUGCAGGUCAAAUAGGUUUUAAGAAAUGAGUGAAAUAGGUGUAAGUCAGUAGUGAGUUGGAAAGGAAUACUGUGAUUGUAGAUGCUCCAAGUUUUCUAGCUUCUAACACGUAGUAUUUUGCUAAAUAAUCAAAUCAAUACACGGAAAGAUAGGUGACAUUGCAGAGGAAAAUGCGCAUAUGAAACAGUGAGACACUGCUUUAGAGAUUAGCCCUAGUAGUAAUAUGAGUGUUUUUUUCACUUAUGGAAUUCAGUCAUGCCAAAAUGGGAGUUUCAAGAGAUCGGGACGUGGUCUUUUAAGUGUCUAUUUAGUGUUAUGCUUAUGGAAUUUAGAUUAUCACUGAUAUCAUUAUAAAAAAAUGUUGAUGCGACAUGUCUUCAGGUAUUUUUUUUCGUAAAUUUAUCUAUUAGACAUGCUACAUCAACAUUCUGUUAACGAUCAAAUAGAAUAGAUUUCGUUCUAAGGUCAUAAGGACAAGAUUAAAUAGAUGUAUAACAAAGUUAGAAAGGGAUGAAAGUAGCUAAGGAAACUUUUGAAAUACUUGUGCUGGUAACUGAGACCAAAAGGGUGGUUUUGUUUGACUAGCUGACAAGUAACCAAAAAAUCCUUCCUCCUGGCACGUGACUCCCACCCUCUCUUCCACAUGCAAAUUCAUUGUGAGCAAACUACGAUUCUCACGACCUUCUCUGUCAUGCAGAAAAAGAACACAACAAAACUACGAAAUAUGGAAAAUCACCUACUUUUCCCCUCAAUCACCACCGUACAUUUCCCUCUCCCUUCUCCUCUCCUCAACCGUCCGAUCCCCAUCACCACACCCUGAUACUUCCCUCUCUUCCUUUCAAGUACAAAAUCAAACCAAAUUCCCAAAAUCACAUCUUUAGAACAGAGAGAGAGAGAUGAAGGAAGGAGUUGAAGUUGAAGUUUGUGGAGGUGGGUCGGCCGGAAAAAGAGUCGGGUCGGGUUCUGUCGGCGGCGGAGGAGUGAGAAGUGAGACUGAGAAAGAGAAGACAAAGAUGAGAGAACGGCAAAGACGAGCCAUCACCACUAAUAUCUUCCAUGGCCUUAGAAAGCACGGCGGCUACCGCCUCUCCCCAAGAGCUGAUAUCAAUGAAGUCCUCCGUGAGCUCGCCAAGGAGGCCGGCUGGAUCGUCCACCCCGACGGCACCACCUACCGGUCCGCCGCUUCAUCGAUUCUGAACAGAUGUUCAGUUUGUGGAAGUGUGAGGAGCUCCACUCCGACGCCGACGAGUAGCGUGGUGGUCGGUGACGCUGCCGGCGGCGGCGGGGAGAGCUCCACUCCGGCCUCCCCCUGGCGCCUCCCUGUUUCUGUGAGAGACUACGCCAUGGUAAUCAACGACAGUGCCAUUCAGCCGGCGACUCCGUUCUACGUCUCCGGCCUCGGUGGCAGUGCUUCUGCUUGCUCCUCGUCUCGGAAUCUGACCAGCAGCGGGAGCAUUAAUGGUGGCGUUCCUAUGGCUCUGAACGUGUACGGAGGACAAGGAGUCCGUCGCUGUAUCUCUGACUCAGCCGCCAACGGCGGCGGCGGCGGCGGCGACGACAAGGACGCGAUGUACGAACAGUUGCAGGAAGCGAGGGCAGCCAAUCAGAGUACGCCGGAGAGAUGUCCUCGGCCUCGCUCGUAGUUCUUUUCUGUUUUACCAUUUUGCCCUCUAGGUUUUGCGCUUGUUACGACCUUUCGGGAGACUCUUUUGGGAAAUAGGUUAGAAAAUUAGCAAAAUUGAAAUACGAAUUAGGUUAAUUAGAAUUUAAAAGACAAAAGACCCAGAAAAUAGAAAAGACAUUUAAUUUUGUAUUAACAAAUGCCAAAAUAUUGUUUGGUAAGAGAAUGGAAUUGUUAGGGCGGUUGAUGACCA